AUGCUGAUACUCCAUGUUUUUCUCAGUUCCUCUCUAAAAGCACUACAGCGAUGUUACCAGGACUUUGCUAUGGAGCUGCUGCCACAGUACUGUGUGCUGAUAUCUAGAUCAUUAGACAUCAGGAGAAAAGCCAGUGUGUUCACGGAAACAGUGCUUCCUCAGACAAGUGGAAGAUCUUCCUGGAACUUACUAGAUUCCCAGCUGAAUCCCCUGAAGCAUCGGUCUUGUAAUGUGACAUGA
rnacentral:lncRNA from 1 species